GAAAGCUCAAAACUAAAUAAGACACAACUUUUAUCCUCAAAUAGCUUAUAGCUCCAGUAGAGAAUAUGUAUAUAAAUCAAAGUUCAAACCAGUGUGGCAGUUUUACAACAUGGCCCCCAAUUUUUUUGAUACUUCUCCCACUGAGAGGUGGGGUCUAUACCACCACAUCUUGAAUCUGGAUGGACUUGCAACUACCUCAGCCAUGCAAGUAUGAGGAAAGAGAAACUGUGUCAUAGAAGACGGUGCAGCUUCUGCCAAGUUCUUUUGGAAUGCUUGCUGGAAUGCUUGCUCUUCUGGAAGGCUCCCUCUCAGGACCCAGCUGCCACGCUGUGAGAAGUCCAAGCCACAGGGCACACAAAAGACGUGUGCGCAAGACAAAGAAGAGUGUGGUUAUGUCUUCCCAGGGGGUCAGGAAGCCUUCAGAGAACAUGUGACAUCAUAUUGAGUCCUAAAAGAUGUGUUCUUAUUGGUUAUUCAAGAGAGUAAGGCCCAGGAAGUCCCCAAACAGAGGAAGCAGAUUCAGUAGAAUUGAGUGUGAAGUGGCCUGUGCUACCUGAGUGUGUGGACCCCCAGACAAGAGACCAGCUGCAGAAGUGACAUCAUGGAGAGCUUUCUUUGUCAGGGAAUUUGUACUUCCACUUGAGGACAAUAAGAAACCUCUGAAGGGUUUUAAAUUCGGGGAAACUGUGACCCAAUUCGCAUUUUCCAAAUGCAUUGUGGUGACUGUGUGAAAGAAGGAAUUAGACAAAAUAAUUAGAAUCUUAUUGGGAUUACUCAGGCAAGGAAAACUAAAGGAAGAUACUGGGAGUGGAGGUAGAGAGGAAAUAGUGAAAUGAUACUUGUCAAAGAGGAGAUGCCACACACACACACACACACACACACACACAAGGGAACAUAUUAGUUUCCUUCUUCCAGGGACCACAGCCCAUAAGUAAAGAAACCUGGUUAAAUCACUCUUCUUCCAAAAAUAAAAAAAAGUAGGAAAUUUUUAUUGGUAUUAAGUGAAGUUCUUAUUCCACAACCUACCCUUAAACACUUUUUUUGGAGAAUUUUCAACAUAACUGAAAGCGAGCUAUGGCUUUUUGGAGAUUCUUUACCACUAAGUCUAAUGGACCUCAUUUACUCAGCAGAAAGAAUUUGAAAUCAGAAAAAGUAAAUAUUCUAACUUUAGAUGGCUCCAUUUAAGUGUUCAUCCAGCUGCUGCAUUCUGCUUGUGCAAAGUGGGCUGCUACUGAAGCUGGUAUUAAAAUCGCACAACAAGGAAGAGAUGAUGAAAUACAUAUCAUCCUUGAUUGGGCUGUCCACUCACAUAGCUAAAGACAGGAUAUGUGUGAUAAUAAAAUCUUAAAUCUGUGAAAGUAAUUGCUUCUGACAUCUCCAACUAGGCAGCAGGCUGCCCAGGCAGUGCUGUUCAGUCACAAAUUCUAAGCCUAAUGAAGUGAGAAGAACACAGUGUAGAUACAAAUUAAAAUGUACUUACAAAGAGCAGUCAGUAUUCUUUUCUCUUUUUUGUAUACUUCUUUGUUUUAUGUGAAGGAGAAAAUAUCUGUUAGGAAUAAUCGCACUUUUAUGUUUUGAGUCAACAGUAAACUUGUUGUUAACAGAAAUGGCCGUCCAGUAAUUCUAAUAUGUUAUUGAAACCUUUGGCUCCUAUAGAACUAUUUUUAGAUUCUUUUAAUCAUUAUUUUCAAGCAGGUGAAAUACAGCUCUGAGAGAAAAAGGACCUGCUUAAAAUAACAGCUAACCAAUCACGCUAUUGCUCUGAUUUUUUUCAAUCUUUUUCUCCAGCACAUUCAAAAUUUUUGAAGGCACAAUUUUCCUAUAACCACGUUGAACUGAUAUUGUGCAACUAAA
ensembl:lncRNA